UUUUGCGACAUUUGCUUUGCGACCCUUGGCUUAGAACUGUCACAAAUCACACUUUUGCGACUGUUUGGAUUAAGGGUCGCAGCUUUUAUACUUUUUUUUCAAGCGCUUUUCACAAUAAAUAUUUUGGCCAAAUAUUCUAUCACUCCCGCUUUCCCGAUUUCAGUCUCCCUCCCAUUGCUCAAAAACCCUAAAACCCAAUUUUAUUCCACAAUCUAACUUUCCCCCAAAUUAAAACCUAAAUCUCUACUACCUAUGGCUCAAUUGAAGCAUUCCCCAUAUUUCAUUUUCCAAUUUCAUUUGCUCUUCCCCAAUUUCACUCUCACCCACAACCUCAGCCAGCAUUGAUAAUCAAAGCAGAGCUAAGCUGUGAAAUCAACCAUGUUUAGUUCUUUAUCAUCUUCUCAACCAGAAGCUACAAAGCUGUUAGAUGGGGACGGGCUUGAUUGGAAAAGAAAAGAAAAGAAAAGAGAACAAGCUGAAAACGCCAGCAAUGGAGUAUAUGUUAAGAAGCAAAGUGCUGGCGAGUUGCGUCUCCACAAAGCCUGUGUUUUUGACAGGCUAUAAUAAAUGCAGUCAGUUGAAUUUGACUUAGGUUUUGAAGAGAGUUAAUGAGUUCGAUUCACUAACUUCGAAUUCUUGGACUUAAAGAGAUUUGAUGUUUUUAUGGUGAUGGUUUGACAAGCAAGCAAGCGUCGAAGAGAGGUUGGUGCUAGAUAAAGGAGCCAAGCAACGGUUACUGUCGAAGGAUGUCAAUUGAAAUUCAAAUCAAAGGGAUGUAUGUGGUAGUUUUUAGCAGUUAAGUUCGAUCGGUUCUGUGUAGGUAGUUACUUAGUAUAAAUAGUAGCUUUUCAUAGGAAAAAUGGGUCACAAUUCAAUCAUACAGAAAACUUACACUCAAACUAUCCGCAUUCAGAGAGAAACGAGUAACAAGUCACAAUGUAUUGAAUCUGUGUACCAAUUUACAUUCAGUCUAUGCAAUUUACUUUUAUUUCUUUAAA